UGGCUGUAAAUCUAAACUCGU
rnacentral:miRNA from 1 species